rnacentral:rRNA from 1 species
ACGAACGCUGGCGGCACGCUUAACACAUGCAAGUCGAACGAGAGAAGAGGAGCUUGCUUUUCUGAUCUAGUGGCGGACGGGUGAGUAACACGUGAGCAAUCUGCCUUUCAGAGGGGGAUACCGAUUGGAAACGAUCGUUAAUACCGCAUAACAUAAUUGAACCGCAUGAUUUGAUUAUCAAAGAUUUAUCGCUGAAAGAUGAGCUCGCGUCUGAUUAGCUAGUUGGUAAGGUAACGGCUUACCAAGGCGACGAUCAGUAGCCGGACUGAGAGGUUGAUCGGCCACAUUGGGACUGAGACACGGCCCAGACUCCUACGGGAGGCAGCAGUGGGGAAUAUUGCACAAUGGAGGAAACUCUGAUGCAGCGAUGCCGCGUGAGGGAAGAAGGUUUUAGGAUUGUAAACCUCUGUCUUCAGGGACGAAAAAUGACGGUACCUGAGGAGGAAGCUCCGGCUAACUACGUGCCAGCAGCCGCGGUAAUACGUAGGGAGCGAGCGUUGUCCGGAAUUACUGGGUGUAAAGGGAGCGUAGGCGGGAUCGCAAGUCAGAUGUGAAAACUAUGGGCUUAACCCAUAAACUGCAUUUGAAACUGUGGUUCUUGAGUGAAGUAGAGGUAAGCGGAAUUCCUAGUGUAGCGGUGAAAUGCGUAGAUAUUAGGAGGAACAUCAGUGGCGAAGGCGGCUUACUGGGCUUUAACUGACGCUGAGGCUCGAAAGCGUGGGGAGCAAACAGGAUUAGAUACCCUGGUAGUCCACGCCGUAAACGAUGAUUACUAGGUGUGGGGGGACUGACCCCUUCCGUGCCGCAGCAAACGCAAUAAGUAAUCCACCUGGGGAGUACGACCGCAAGGUUGAAACUCAAAGGAAUUGACGGGGGCCCGCACAAGCAGUGGAGUAUGUGGAUUAAUUCGAAGCAACGCGAAGAACCUUACCAGGUCUUGACAUCGUAUGCAUAGCUCAGAGAUGAGUGAAAUCUCUUCGGAGACAUAUAGACAGGUGGUGCAUGGUUGUCAUCAGCUCGUGUCGUGAGAUGUUGGGUUAAGUCCCGCAACGAGCGCAACCCUUACUGUUAGUUGCUACGCAAGAGCACUCUAGCAGGACUGCCGUUGACAAAACGGAGGAAGGUGGGGAUGACGUCAAAUCAUCAUGCCCCUUAUGACCUGGGCCUCACACGUACUACAAUGGCUGUCAACAGAGGGAAGCAAAGCCGCGAGGUGGAGCAAACCCCUAAAAGCAGUCUUAGUUCGGAUUGUAGGCUGCAACCCGCCUACAUGAAGUCGGAAUUGCUAGUAAUCGCAGAUCAGCAUGCUGCGGUGAAUACGUUCCCGGGCCUUGUACACACCGCCCGUCACGCCAUGGGAGUCGGUAACACCCGAAGCCUGUAGUCUAACCGCAAGGAGGACGCAGUCGAAGGUGGGAUUGAUGACUGGGGUG